rnacentral:rRNA from 2 species
GAGACGGGCUAUAGCUUGCUAUAGUUGUCAGCUAAGUGGCGCACGGGUGAGUAAUGUAUAGGUAAUAUGCCUCUUACUAAGGGAUAACAAAAUGGAAACGUUUGCUAAUACCUUAUACUCCUUAUUAACAGAAGUUAAUAAGGGAAAGAUUUAUUGGUAAGAGAUUAGCCUGUAUUGUAUCAGUUAGUUGGUGGGGUAAUGGCUUACCAAGACUAUGACACAUAACUGGUUUGAGAGGAUGAUCAGUCACACUGGAACUGAGACACGGUCCAGACUCCUACGGGAGGCAGCAGUGGGGAAUAUUGCACAAUGGACGAAAGUCUGAUGCAGCAACGCCGCGUGGAGGAUGACACAUUUCGGUGCGUAAACUCCUUUUAUAUAAGAAGAUAAUGACGGUAUUAUAUGAAUAAGCACCGGCUAACUCCGUGCCAGCAGCCGCGGUAAUACGGGGGGUGCAAGCGUUACUCGGAAUCACUGGGCGUAAAGAGCAUGUAGGCGGAUUAAUAAGUUUGAAGUGAAAUCCUAUAGCUUAACUAUAGAACUGCUUUGAAAACUGUUGAUCUAGAAUGUGGGAGAGGUAGAUGGAAUUUCUGGUGUAGGGGUAAAAUCCGUAGAGAUCAGAAGGAAUACCGAUUGCGAAGGCGAUUUACUGGAACACAAUUGACGCUGAGAUGCGAAAGCGUGGGGAGCAAACAGGAUUAGAUACCCUGGUAGUCCACGCCCUAAACGAUGUACACUAGUUGUUGUGAGACUAGAUCUUGCAGUAAUGCAGUUAACACAUUAAGUGUACCGCCUGGGGAGUACGGUCGCAAGAUUAAAACUCAAAGGAAUAGACGGGGACCCGCACAAGCGGUGGAGCAUGUGGUUUAAUUCGACGAUACACGAAGAACCUUACCUGGACUUGACAUAGUAAGAACUUUCUAGAGAUAGAUUGGUGUCUGCUUGCAGAAACUUAUAUACAGGUGCUGCACGG